rnacentral:rRNA from 1 species
GUGGGGAAUCUUCCGCAAUGGACGAAAGUCUGACGGAGCGACGCCGCGUGAGUGAUGAAGGUUUUCGGACUGUAAAGCUCUGUUGUUUAGGACGAAAGUGCCUGUUGCGAACAGUUACAGGUAUUGACGGUACUAAACGAGGAAGCCACGACUAACUACGUGCCAGCAGCCGCGGUAAUACGUAGGUGGCAAGCGUUGUCCGGAAUUAUUGGGCGUAACGAGCAUGUAGGCGGAGAUUUAAGUCUGUUGUGAAAAUGCGGGGCUCAACCCCGUAUUGCGAUGGAAACUGAAUUUCUUGAGUGCAGGAGAGGAAAGGGGAAUUCCCAGGGUAGCGGUGAAAUGCGUAGAUAUUGGGAGGAACACCAGUGGCGAAGGCGCCUUUCUGGACUGUGUCUGACGCUGAGAUGCGAAAGCCAGGGUAGCGAACGGGAUUAGAUACCCUAGUAGUCC